AGUGAACGCUGGCGGUAGGCCUAACACAUGCAAGUCGAACGGCAGCACAGUAAGAGCUUGCUCUUACGGGUGGCGAGUGGCGGACGGGUGAGGAAUACAUCGGAAUCUACUUUUUCGUGGGGGAUAACGUAGGGAAACUUACGCUAAUACCGCAUACGAUCUACGGGUGAAAGCAGGGGAUCAUCGGACCUUGCGCGAUUGAAUGAGCCGAUGUCGGAUUAGCUAGUUGGCGGGGUAAAGGCCCACCAAGGCGACGAUCCGUAGCUGGUCUGAGAGGAUGAUCAGCCACACUGGAACUGAGACACGGUCCAGACUCCUACGGGAGGCAGCAGUGGGGAAUAUUGGACAAUGGGCGCAAGCCUGAUCCAGCCAUACCGCGUGGGUGAAGAAGGCCUUCGGGUUGUAAAGCCCUUUUGUUGGGAAAGAAAAGCAGCAGGUUAAUACCCCGCUGUUCUGACGGUACCCAAAGAAUAAGCACCGGCUAACUUCGUG
rnacentral:rRNA from 1 species